rnacentral:rRNA from 1 species
GGCAGCAUUUUUCUAGCAAUAGAAGAGAUGGCGACCGGCGCACGGGUGAGUAACACGUAUCCAACCUACCGAUAACUCUGGAAUAGCCUUUCGAAAGAAAGAUUAAUACCGGAUAGUAUACGAAUAUCGCAUGAUAUUUUUAUUAAAGAAUUUCGGUUAUCGAUGGGGAUGCGUUCCAUUAGUUUGUUGGCGGGGUAACGGCCCACCAAGACUACGAUGGAUAGGGGUUCUGAGAGGAAGGUCCCCCACAUUGGAACUGAGACACGGUCCAAACUCCUACGGGAGGCAGCAGUGAGGAAUAUUGGUCAAUGGACGUAAGUCUGAACCAGCCAAGUAGCGUGAAGGAUGACUGCCCUAUGGGUUGUAAACUUCUUUUAUAUGGGAAUAAAGUAUUCCACGUGUGGGAUUUUGUAUGUACCAUAUGAAUAAGGAUCGGCUAACUCCGUGCCAGCAGCCGCGGUAAUACGGAGGAUCCGAGCGUUAUCCGGAUUUAUUGGGUUUAAAGGGAGCGUAGGUGGAUUGUUAAGUCAGUUGUGAAAGUUUGCGGCUCAACCGUAAAAUUGCAGUUGAAACUGGUAGUCUUGAGUACAGUAGAGGUGGGCGGAAUUCGUGGUGUAGCGGUGAAAUGCUUAGAUAUCACGAAGAACUCCGAUUGCGAAGGCAGCUCACUAGACUGUCACUGACACUGAUGCUCGAAAGUGUGGGUAUCAAACAGGAUUAGAUACCCUGGUAGUCCACACAGUAAACGAUGAAUACUCGCUGUUUGCGAUAUACAGUAAGCGGCCAAGCGAAAGCAUUAAGUAUUCCACCUGGGGAGUACGCCGGCAACGGUGAAACUCAAAGGAAUUGACGGGGGC